GACGAACGCUGGCGGCGUGCUUAACACAUGCAAGUCGAGCGGUAAGGCCCUUUCGGGGGCACACGAGCGGCGAACGGGUGAGUAACACGUGGGUGACCUGCCCUCAGCUCUGGGAUAAGCCUGGGAAACUGGGUCUAAUACUGGAUAUGACUCCACGGUGCAUGUCGUGGGGUGGAAAGCCUUGUGCGGCUGAGGAUGGGCCCGCGGCCUAUCAGCUUGUUGGUGGGGNGAUGGCCUACCAAGGCGACGACGGGUAGCCGGCCUGAGAGGGCGACCGGCCACACUGGGACUGAGACACGGCCCAGACUCCUACGGGAGGCAGCAGUGGGGAAUCUUGCGCAAUGGGCGAAAGCCUGACGCAGCGACGCCGCGUGAGGGAUGACGGCCUGG
rnacentral:rRNA from 1 species